AUACUUAACUGGACGGGGUCAAUGGGCAAUCAACAAGACUUAUGGCCUAGGCUAGUGACCUCCAUUGCACUUUGGAGGGGUGCUAGCUUAAGGUCGGCCCAAGUGAUCGAGCCUACGUCAUAAUUUGUGGCAGCGAGGGCCUGCGCGGCCCCUAU
rnacentral:snRNA from 1 species